GACGAACGCUGGCGGCGUGCUUAACACAUGCAAGUCGAACGGAAAGGCCCUGCUUUUGUGGGGUGCUCGAGUGGCGAACGGGUGAGUAACACGUGAGUAACCUGCCCUUGACUUUGGGAUAACUUCAGGAAACUGGGGCUAAUACCGGAUAGGAGCUCCUGCUGCAUGGUGGGGGUUGGAAAGUUUCGGCGGUUGGGGAUGGACUCGCGGCUUAUCAGCUUGUUGGUGGGGUAGUGGCUUACCAAGGCUUUGACGGGUAGCCGGCCUGAGAGGGUGACCGGCCACAUUGGGACUGAGAUACGGCCCCGACUCCUACGGGAGGCAGCAGUGGGGAAUAUUGCACAAUGGGCGGAAGCCUGAUGCAGCAACGCCGCGUGCGGGAUGACGGCCUUCGAGUUGUAAACCGCUUUCGCCUGUGACGAAGCGUGAGUGACGGUAAUGGGUAAAGAAGCACCGGCUAACUACGUG
rnacentral:rRNA from 1 species